rnacentral:rRNA from 1 species
GGGGGGGGGGGGGGGGGGGGCGGGGGGGUGCGAGUCUUUGGCGGGUGUGUGGGUGCGCGGGCUAGCCGGGGCGGACGGGUGAGUAACGCGUAGAGAACUGGCCCUGCAGACAGGGAUAACAGACGGAAACGGCUGAUGACACCUGCUACAGUUGCCGGCACGCAUGUGCCUGGCACUGCAAAGAGAUGCUGCAGGAGAGCUUUGCGUCCUAUUAGCUUGUUGGUGAGGUGACGGCUCACCAAGGCGAUGAUAGGUAGCCGGCCUGAGAGGGUGAACGGCCACAAGGGGACUGAGAUACGGCCCUUACUCCUACGGGAGGCAGCAGUGGGGAAUAUUGGACAAUGGGGGCAACCCUGAUCCAGCAAUUCUGUGUGCACGAAGAAGGUUUUCGGAUUGUAAAGUGCUUUCAGCAGGGAAGAAGAAAGUGACGGUACCUGCAGAAGAAGCGACGGCUAAAUACGUG